UACGAAGGGGGCUAGCGUUGCUCGGAAUCACUGGGCGUAAAGCGCACGUAGGCGGACUCUUAAGUCGGUGGUGAAAUCCUGGAGCUCAACUCCAGAACUGCCUUCGAUACUGAGAGUCUCGGGUCCGAGAGAGGUGAGUGGAACUGCGAGUGUAGAGGUGAAAUUCGUAGAUAUUCGCAAGAACACCAGUGGCGAAGGCGGCUCACUGGCUCGGUACUGACGCUGAGGUGCGAAAGCGUGGGGAGCAAACAGG
rnacentral:rRNA from 1 species